rnacentral:rRNA from 1 species
GACGAACGCUGGCGGCGUGCUUAACACAUGCAAGUCGACGACGCUACUGAGUAGCAAUAUUUAGUAGUGGAGUGGCGCAAGGGUGAGUAAUGUAUACGUAACCAACCCAUCGGAGACGGAUAACAUUUCGAAAGGGAUGCUAAAACGGCAUGAAGCCACGAUUUCGCAUGAGAUUGUGGUUAAAGAACCGGUAACAGGUUGCCGAUGGCUGGGCGUAUAUCCGAUUAGCUAGUUGGUAGUGUAAUGGACUACCAAGGCGACGAUCGGUAGCUGGUCUGAGAGGAUGAUCAGCCACACUGGCACUGAGACACGGGCCAGACUCCUACGGGAGGCAGCAGUGGGGAAGAUUGGGCAAUGCCCGCAAGGGUGACCCAGCAACGCCGCGUGGAGGAUGAAGGCCGUAAGGUUGUAAACUCUGACAAGCAGGGAAGAACGGCUAUGGUAAAAGGCCAUAGAAUGACGGUACCUGCCUGAAGCCCCGGCUAACUACGUG